rnacentral:rRNA from 1 species
UACGUAGGGUGCAAGCGUUAAUCGGAAUUACUGGGCGUAAAGCGUGCGCAGGCGGUUUUGUAAGACUGUCGUGAAAUCCCCGGGCUUAACCUGGGAAUGGCGAUGGUGACUGCAAGGCUAGAGUUUGGCAGAGGGGGGGUAGAAUUCCACGUGUAGCAGUGAAAUGCGUAGAGAUGUGGAGGAACACCGAUGGCGAAGGCAGCCCCCUGGGUCAAAACUGACGCUCAUGCACGAAGCGUGGGGAGCAAACAGG